UUUUACUAAACAAUAGGAGGACUGUUGGGCAGUAUGCUUUUUAAAUUUUGACUUGCAUUCUCCUUUAACACAGGCCUAUUUGAACAAAGAGCGGAAAAUUCCAGAAGCCAGAGAAGAAUUGCAAAUGUGAGCAAGAGCUGGAGUAAGUUCAGCAGCACAGAUAAGAAGGCAUAGGGUCAAGAGAGCAAGAGGACUCCAUGCUAUUGACUGUGUGGAAAUUGAUGGGUAUUGGCAAUUGAAGCACAAAUACUGGACAUUCACAUCAAUGGGAUGGUUGUUGAGCCUGUCUCAUCCUUCAAGUUCCUGGGGACCCACAUCUCGGAGAACCUAUCCUGGGCUACUAACAUCUCUAGCCUGGUCAAGAAGGCCCACCAGCGUCUAUUCUUCUUGAGAACACUAAAGAAGAAUCAGCUAUCUUCAGCUAUUCUGGUGAACUUCUAUCGCUGCACAAUAGAAAGCAUCUUAACCAACUGUGUCACAGUUUGGUAUGGAAGCUGUUCUGUUGCUGAGCGUAAGGCACUGCAGCGAGUGGUGAAAACUGCCCAGCGUAUUAUAGGGACUCCACUUCCAGCCAUUGAGGACAUUCAAAAGAAACACUGUGUGUGUCGAGCACGCAGUAUUCUUAAGGAUUACUCUCAUCCCGCCCAUAAACUGUUCUCUCUCCUGCCUUCUGGACGGCGCUUCAGGUGUCUCAGGUCAAGAACCAACAGACUGAGGAACAGCUUCUUUCAUAGAGCUGUCUCCUUAUUGAACUCUGCCCCCCACUGACACCUGUUUACAUCUCACAACCCUAUACUCUUACCAUUAUACUAAUUACACUUUACACUAUUUAAUAUUGCAACACAAUGUACAUAUCUGUUUGAAAAUACAAAAAUACAAAUAUCCAUUUACAAUACAUUUGUAAAACUUCUGAUUGCAUAUAUAUUCGCACAUGUCUACUUGUAAAUUCCUGUACCCUAUGUUCAUAUUUAUCUGUAAAUGUUCACUUGUAAACUCCUGUCUGUAGAAAUUAGCAACCUGUAUAUUAUGUUCAUAUCUAUCUGCAAACAGUUAAUAAUACUUGUAUAUACGAUUCAUCCAUUGUAAAUUCAUAAGCAUGGUUACUAGUAAUCUGUAGUCUGUAUAUAUGCUCACCAAUGAAUCUUCUGUAAUAAGUACCUAUAGCUCUACCUGCACAUAUCCCUUUAAAUGCACUUAGAACCUUUAUCCUGUACUUUCUGCUAAUUGCACUUCUGGUUAGACCUAAACUGUAUUUCGUUGCCUUGUACGUGUACAUGUGUAAUGACAAUAAAGUUGAAUCUAUCUAUCUAUC